UUUUUAGUGCAAAUUUGGAGACGCACCCCUAAAAGGUGCCGGGGCUUCUCCCGUUUUAAGAGAGACGGGAGAAGG
rnacentral:tRNA from 1 species